rnacentral:SRP_RNA from 2 species
GCCAGGUGCAGUGGUGCGCACCUGUAAUCCCAGCUACUUGGGAGGCUGAGACAGGAGAAUCACUUGAACCCGGGAGGUGGAGGUUGCAGUGAGCCAAGAUCAUGCCACUGCACUCCAGCCUGGGUGACAGAGUGAGACUCCGUCUCAA